UACGGAGGGUGCAAGCGUUAUCCGGAAUCAUUGGGUUUAAAGGGUCCGUAGGCGGAUAAUUAAGUCAGAGGUGAAAUCCCACAGCUUAACUGUGGAACUGCCUUUGAUACUGGUUGUCUUGAAUUAUAGUGAAGUAGAUAGAAUGUGUAGUGUAGCGGUGAAAUGCUUAGAUAUUACACAGAAUACCGAUUGCGAAGGCAGUUUACUAACUAUAUAUUGACGCUAAUGGACGAAAGCGUGGGGAGCGAACAGG
rnacentral:rRNA from 2 species